rnacentral:rRNA from 1 species
UACGGAGGGUGCGAGCGUUGUCCGGAAUCACUGGGCGUAAAGGGCGCGUAGGCGGCUUGAUAAGUAGGGGGUGAAAUCCUGCGGCUUAACCGCAGGGCUGCCUUCUAAACUGUCAGGCUCGAGCACAGUAGAGGCAGGUGGAAUUCCCGGUGUAGCGGUGAAAUGCGCAGAUAUCAGGAGGAACACCGGUGGCGAAGGCGGGUCUCUGGGCAACAACUGACGCUGAGGAGCGAAAGCGUGGGGAGCGAACAGG